rnacentral:rRNA from 1 species
UACAGAGGUCUCAAGCGUUGUUCGGAUUCGUUGGGCGUAAAGGGUGCGUAGGUGGCGCCGUAAGUCAGGUGUGAAAUUUCGGAGCUUAACUCCGAAACUGCAUUUGAUACUGCGGUGCUUGAGGACUGGAGAGGAGACUGGAAUUUACGGUGUAGCAGUGAAAUGCGUAGAGAUCGUAAGGAAGACCAGUGGCGAAGGCGGGUCUCUGGACAGUUCCUGACACUGAGGCACGAAGGCCAGGGGAGCAAACGGG